rnacentral:rRNA from 1 species
UACGGAGGGUGCAAGCGUUAUCCGGAUUCACUGGGUUUAAAGGGAGCGCAGGCGGGCUUGUAAGUCAGUGGUGAAAUACCCGUGCUUAACAUGGGAACUGCCAUUGAUACUAUAGGUCUUGAAUAUCGUUGAGGUUUGCGGAAUGGGUCAUGUAGCGGUGAAAUGCAUAGAUAUGACCCGGAACACCUAUUGCGAAGGCAGCAGGCUAAGCGAAGAUUGACGCUGAGGCUCGAAAGCGUGGGGAUCAAACAGGA